rnacentral:lncRNA from 1 species
AGAGAGAGAUAUAAGAUUAGAGUGUAAAGAAAAAUAAUAUCAAUUAGCCUGCGGGUAGGAAGAAAGAAAGAGAUUAGAUAUAUUAUGAUUACCCCAAUCCAUUAAUAUGAGGAUACCUAUCCUCCCUCAAGGGAAUGAGAUUAGUAUUUUGGGAUAAAUUUUAUUCCCAAGUGAAUCCAAUAUUACCAACUAAAUUACUUAGUGCGCUUAGUCAAACACCGUUAUAUUUUUUUAUUCCUAUUGGAUUACUAGAAAUCUUUAAAAGAUAGUGCGAACCAAACACCGUUAUAUUUUUUUAUUCCUAUUGGAUUACUAGGAAUUUUUAAAAGAUAGUGCGAACCAAACGCACCCUAAAGUGGUAAUCUUAUUAUUAUUAUUAUUAUUAUUACUAUUGUUAUUAUUAUUAUUAUUAUUUUGAAUAAGGGGGUUUUUGGUAUCUUUGAAAAAAUAUAAAAAAGUAUUUUUUCGAAACAAAGUUUAUGAUGAAAAGUAGUUUUUGUUUUCGAAUAAAAAAUUUUGAAAAAUUAAAAUAUUAGUUUUUUUAUGAAAUUUGAAAUAUAGACCAUUUUAAUUCGGUUAUCCAAAUGUUUAAAAUUUUGAUUUUAGUAUCCAAUCUUUCAGUUUAUUUGAUUUAAAUAAUUUGAUGGCUUUUCGGAUAUGCCAUUUGAAAUAAUUACUUAUUUUAAUGAAUUAGAGUUACGUAAAUUACAUAAAAUAUUAACUAAAACACAUUCCAAUUUUGAAGUAAAAGAGUCACUACUUGGCUCAAAUCAAAUAAAUUAAAAGAUUAGAUAGUAAAAUAAAGAAUUUUAAAGGUUAAAUAGUUAAAUCUAAAUGGGUAAUAAUUGAGAUGAUAUUUAUGCAUUUUUUC